rnacentral:lncRNA from 1 species
UGCAACUGCCUCUGUUUCCGUUUCCUUCUUCUCCAUUGCAAAACUCAAGGCCCUUCCGUUUCGCAUUGUCGAUUCUUCUUACACCUGAUCAUUCAUACAUUACUUACUUGUCCUAUGCUUCUUCCUCAUCAAAUCGCCAUUGCUGAUUAAUUCCCUCAUUGCAGCCAGCCUCAGCUGAAUCUUCUUCCGCUGUCAUGUGGUGGACCUUCGCCAGACGAGUUUCCGCUGUCAUGUGGAGGACCUUCGCCAGACGAGUUUCCGCUUCCAAGCGGCUCAAAUUCCCCCCAAAC